rnacentral:rRNA from 1 species
UCAAUCCGGGGAGGGUUCCAUCGAUACUGGGAACUUGAGUGCAGGAGGAAGAAGGAGUGGAAUACACGUGUAAGCGUGAAAUGGCGUAGGAGAUGUGGAGGAACACCAGUGGCGAAGGGCGACUCUCUGGUCUGUAACUGACGCUGAGGGAGCGAAAGCGUGGGGAGCGAACAGGAUUAGAUACCCUGGUAGUCCACGCCGUAAACGAUGAGUGCUAAGUGUUAGGGGGUUUCCGCCCCUUAGUGCUGCAGCUAACGCAUUAAGCACUCCGCCUGGGGAGUACGGUCGCAAGACUGAAACUCAAAGGAAUUGACGGGG